rfam:Camelus ferus unplaced genomic scaffold scaffold172, whole genome shotgun sequence.
GAGGGUAUAGCUCAGUGGUAGAGUGUGUGCUUAGCACGUAGGAGGUCCUGGGUUCAAUCCCCAGUACCUCCA